AGUGAACGCUGGCGGCAUGCCUAACACAUGCAAGUCGAACGAACCUUCCGGUGUUUGUGGCGGACGGCUGAUUAACACGUGGUAACGUGCCCUUAGGUUCGGUAUACCUCAGGGCAACUUGUGCUAAUGCCGCAUGUGCUCUUCCGGGGAAAGACUUAUAGGCUUUAGGGCGGCCUGCGUCUGAUUAGCUUGUUGUUUAAGGUACUGGCUCACAAAGGCGUCGUUCAGUAGCUGGUCGGCGAGAAUGAUCCGCCACGGUGGCACUGAGACACGGCCCACAAUCCGACGGAAGGGGGGAGUGGGGAAUCUAGCGGAAUGGGGGAAGGCCUGACGGAGCCAUGCGGGGUGAAUGAUGAAGGUCGUAGGAAACUAAAAUUCUUUCACCGGGGACGAUAAUGACGGUACCCGGAGAAGAAGCACCGGCUAACUACGUG
rnacentral:rRNA from 1 species